rnacentral:tRNA from 1 species
GGGCGAUUAACUCAGCGGCAGAGUGCUGUCUUCACACGGCAGAAGUCGUAGGUUCGAAUCCUACAUCGCCCACCA